rnacentral:rRNA from 1 species
UAGGGAAUCUUCCACAAUGGGCGCAAGCCUGAUGGAGCAACACCGCGUGAGUGAAGAAGGGUUUCGGCUCGUAAAGCUCUGUUUGUUAAAGAAGAACACGUAUGAGAGUAACUGUUCAUACGUUGACGGUAUUUAACCAGAAAGUCACGGCUAACUACGUGCUAG